GGCCGCCCGCAGCGCUCAGCCAGGUCUCUCCCAAGGGAGCCUGCCGGGAACUGCCGCGCCUCGCCUCGCCUCACAGCCUCCCUCCCGCUCCUCCAGACGGUGAGACACGGCUCGCCCGGACCCACCUGCCUGCUUGCUCCCAGCCGCAGCGGCGGGACUGCCGGUGAGCCGCAGCCCGCGCCCUCCCUCACGUCCUCUCUCUCCGUCGCCGAGGCAACACCGCGCCGCGCCGCGCCGCUCCCCACCCCUCCCUCCCUGGCCGGACGGGGGGCCCGGCUCAGGUGACCGCAGGCAGCCAAUCAGCGGCCACACGUGCCCCGCGGCGAGCAGGCGCGCGCUCCCGCUGAGGCGGGGCCGCGCGGGCGAGGCGGCGGCGGCGGUGGGGUCGCGUUAGGCGGGUGUCGCGUACGGCCGAUAGCUGCCGCCGCCUCAGAGGGCGGGCGGAACCGCGCUCCCGCCUCGGUGAUGUGCCGGUGCUGUUACCAGGCAUCGAGGGGGAAAAACAAAACAAAGCAAACAAAAUAAUAGCACAAAAGCUCUUCACCUCAGGAUCAGCCCUAAGCGCUGCUCGGCUCCCCUUUAUCCUUGUUGCACGGAGCAGCCAGGCUUUACGCAGCCAGGCACCACCUGCGGCUGCAGAGGUCCUCUGGUGAUUCCCUGUGAAGUUCUCCCCUCAGUGCUUAGGUGGGGUUUUCUUUCCUGCUAGCUCAAAGUCUGAAAUGUUUUGCCGUUCUAUAGGCAACUAAGCUGUGGUGUAAUGCCAAGCACGAGCUCAGAAACCCAGCCCUUCACAGGGAAGACAUUGUUCAUAUUCACUAGAAUAGAUGUGACUUACUGCCGCUUGUAUGGUGAAUUAGGGGCUGGGCUGGCAUUAGUGAUGCUCCAACUUUGGUGAAACCAAUCUCAGUGAAACGAUCUUGUGAGGAACUCAGAAGUUUCAACUUUGAAUUAAGAGAUUAACGCUACCACCACAGUCCAAGCAAUACUAUGGAUACAUUGGGAACUGAGGGCCUGCAAAGACGAGUUCUGUUUCAGGCCUGCUGCCAGAAGGAGCUCUGUGAAAGGCUGGAAUGUCUGCGAGGAAUGGCACGUUACAGCAGCGGCGGUGCAUCUGUUGUGCAUGGCAGCUGCUGUGCAGCACUGGGCUCCAUGCAUCCUCUUGGUAUUUACAGACAACUGCUUUGAAUGUUAUGUUUUGUGUGGACACCUGUAAAAUACACUGCACAGGUUCUUGUUGGAGUUGCCCUGUGUGUUUCAGAUGCUCGUUUUAAAGAAUAUAGUUAUAGAAGUGUAUUAAAACAUCACUGAGUUCUUAAAGUCUUGACUAAACACUGAGGACUACCACAGAAAGAAGCAUUAAGACUUUCUCAUCACACAGAGGUUUACUAUUGCGAUGAAUUAUUAAGAACUAUGAAGGUGAUGAAGUCUGGAACACUGAAGUGUGUUUAAGUCCCUGUUGGAGCAUGUAAAUUAAAAUGGAUGGGUUAAUUCCAUUCAUCACUGAAAGAUAAUGAAAAUUGCAGGCCUUCUUUUUGAAUUAGGAUAUUUCUUCUAAGGAAAUGGAAGUCAGCGAACAGAUUUUCACUACAGUAGAGAAAGCAACGAAAAAGUAUUUGGAAAGUAGUUCCAGCUGACCGCUCUGAUAAGACUAAGUUACGUGACAUAUCUGAUGUGGAAGAAGAAAUUGUACAGCAAUAGGAAGUUGUUAUCUCCAUAUCUCAAAUGCUAACACAGCUCCCCCAGUCAACUGUGAGAUAGAUCUACUCUUGUUAUGACAGCUGCUGGAAACUGAUGUCAGUAUAUCUGUACAGUGUCUUUUGAUAGUCUUAACUGUUACAAAUCUUAAAGUAUGUUUAUGAUGUUAUCUAAGACACGCUGUUUGAAAAUGGCUCUAUUUAUAAUCAGAAAUUGCUCGUGCUUUUUUAAUAAAUAAAUUAUAGGCUAGUCUGAUUUGCUCGAACUUUUUCUUUCUGAAGCCUUAAGCCAGAGGAUUAAUUAAUGUUUAUACAGCACUUUGUAAACACAGGCAUAAGCGCCAAGAAUUAUUAUUAUUUAAUCUUUAAAAGUCAGAUCAAUGAAAAAUUGAACUGUCAGAGAACUGCUUUUUAAAACAAAAAAAAGAAAAACUGAGAAUUCCCUGCUCCCUGCCCACGCCCCCCCCUCCCCAAUAUGUCCAACUCUGCUUCCAUUUCAGUCUCACAUACAGACAAAGAAGUUUCAGUUUUAAUAGGUUAACGCCCAUCUGUAGGGACUUUUUACAUAAUGAAAAAAAAAAAAAAAUCUUAAAUGCAGUUCCAGGGCCUGAAUGUUGCAAAUAUGUUAAUGUUUAAGUCCAUCAAUGUAACCUAUCUCAUUAGCAGUGUUACUUCUGUGAGCAGCUUUACUCAUCUGUGUGAUUGUAGAGUCAGAUCCUUACAGAGAUAAUUUAAAUGUAUUUGACUUGUAGCUAUUUUGACUCCUGGGGAAAACUAAAAGAAUUCCUAUACUAUGUUUUGCUGUUUUUUUAAUUAUUAUUAUUUUUUAUUUUUUUCUGCUUCUCUCUCUACUUUACAGCAAGGUAAGGUUUAGAAACACUUUUCCUCAGGAAAUAAAGGUACAUGUUAGAACACAAGCAGCAAGCAAGAGAAGAUUGGAAAGGUGAAGAAGCUCAUCAGUGAAGCAUAGGACUGGUUAAUAAAAUUAAGGUUUGAAACUGUCUUUUCAGGGUUACAGGAACAUGCUUUGGUACCUCCUCAAAGAAAAAUUCUACACUUUGCUUUGACUAUGCCUUCAAUGAUAUUCUUCCUUGACAGCUAUACGCACAUUAUUCAUGCAGUGCUAAUUACUUUCCUGAGAAUGUAAUUGACUUGUUAAGUUAGAAUGUGAAUUAAUUGGUGGUAUAGAAAAGUAAAUGAUACAAAGUCAGGCCUGGUCUUAAUCUGUGUUUGGCAUAUUAUCUCUUGAUAUUAAGUAAAUUUUUAAUUUAUAUAUACAAAUAUACUUCUAAUUUGAAUGAAUCAAAGAUUUCAGACUAACUAAUGAAAGAUGGCUACAUUCAUCUGGAAGUGCUGAUAACUUAAUUUUAUUCAUAUGUGAGCAGACUGUGAAAAUUUGGUUUUGCAUAUUACUAUAAUGUACAUGAAAAUAUACAUGAAAUGUGAACAUCCUGAGGGUCCUGGACUGAAAUCCCCCAAAGAAUGGUAUUGUAAUACUGCUUAAUAGCUACCAGUUAUGCUGACUUUUCCUUGCAUUUUGUUAAUAAAUAAAAAGUCUUACACACAUCUAAGUUUAGAUUUAAGCACAGAUAUUUGAAGUCAGUGAUUCAGGAGAACUCACUAUCCACCAUUAAGUCUUGAUGUUCAGGCAGCUCACUGUCUGGAAUGUUGAACUUCUUUGCAAGUCUGGCCUCAAUUAUGGGUUCUAAGUUCUUCUGAAAAUCUACAUUAUCUUUAAAUACCUGCAGAAGAAACUCAAGUCUUAUUUUCAAAGUCUGCCUCCUGCUAUAGACACAGAACCACUCACAGAUUUGGCCCAUACUCAUAAAAAUUCUGGCCUUUGAAGUGCAAAUGCCCAGUGAAUAAUCCCAAUUCUUCUAAUGAUUCUUUACAGUGAAUUUCUGAAGUACUAUUCUUCUAUUUUCUUAGACAGAGUACAUAUUUGUAAUAUGAAUUUGAGGAGCAAUAUGAAAUAUUUUGAAGUAAAGCUGUUUCACUGAAAUAGUGAAUAGGAAAACUUUCCUGGAGUUCUGCAAAACCAGGUGUUUGCUAUAGAUAAGCUAAAGAUUUCUUUAAUAUCCUUAUUAAUAUGCCAUAAAAGAAACAUCUAUCGUCAUGUUACAAUGUUAAUUGUAUUAUCAAGAUUUCUCUUUGUAUUUAAUAGUUGAACUCACACCUCUUUGAUGUUGAAAUUUGAAAAAACUCCCUUUUGCAUGUAAGGAUGUGAUAUUUGUAAAUACAGUUCUAAAACCUUGUGGAAGAGGAUACCUUUACAUCUCAAGUGUGCAACCAGUAGGAUAAAAAGUGUUGCUUGAAGAAGGCAGGCUUUACCAAAUACACAGAGAGAAAUAAAUACACAGUGUGUAGGAAAUAUGGCUGGUCUUUUCUUAGAAAAUAAACAUUCCUCCAAGUCCUGUAAUGCUGUAUUCGAAUAUCACUUUACAAAACUACAGACAGCUGAAAUGAGUAGUGCACACAAAGUAUUAUAUACCCAUCAAUACUGAAACAAAUCUGAUUUAGCCUCAGUUUUCAAAUGCCUAUAUAUUCUAGAUAUGUUUUAAAAAAUACAGUUCUGCAAAAGUUACAAAUCUAAAUGGCACAGAAGUUAUAUAUAUUUUAAAGUAUGUACACUAAAUGCUGUGCAGUAUUGCUGCUUUUGUGAACUUUAAAAUCUCUUAAACUCUUGCAAAAGAAAACUGGAAAAAAGCACAAAAUCCGGUACCUGUUAUGUGGUGAAGUCUCCCAGUGCCCAGGCUUUCUGCAACUUAAUUUCACACUGCCAGAGCUUCUGCAUUAAAUGCUUUUACCUCCUUAAAAAAAAAAAAA